GAUGAACGCUGGCGGCGUGCCUAAUACAUGCAAGUCGAACGAAACUUCUUUAUCACCGAGUGCUUGCACUCACCGAUAAAGAGUUGAGUGGCGAACGGGUGAGUAACACGUGGGCAGCCUGCCCAAAAGAGGGGGAUAACACUUGGAAACAGGUGCUAAUACCGCAUAACCAUAGUUACCGCAUGGUAACUAUGUAAAAGGUGGCUAUACUACCGCUUUUGGAUGGGCCCGCGGCGCAUUAGCUAGUUGGUAGGGUAAAGGCUUACCAAGGCAAUGAUGCGUAGCCGAAUUGAGAGGUUGAUCGGCCACAUUGGGACUGAGACACGGCCCAAACUCCUACGGGAGGCAGCAGUAGGGAAUCUUCCACAAUGGGCGAAAGCCUGAUGGAGCAACGCCGCGUGGGUGAAGAAGGUCUUCGGAUCGUAAAACCCUGUUGUUAGAGAAGAAAGUGCGUGAGAGUAACUGCUCACGUUUCGACGGUAUCUAACCAGAAAGCCACGGCUAACUACGUG
rnacentral:rRNA from 1 species